rnacentral:rRNA from 1 species
GGGGAAUUUUGGACAAUGGGGGCAACCCUGAUCCAGCAAUGCCGCGUGAGUGAAGAAGGCCUUCGGGUUGUAAAGCUCUUUUGUCAGGGAAGAAACAGCAGCUCUAACACAGCAUGCGAAUGACGGUACCUGAAGAAUAAGCACCGGCUAACUACGUGCCAGCAGCCGCGGUAAUACGUAGGGUGCAAGCGUUAAUCGGAAUUACUGGGCGUAAAGCGUGCGCAGGCGGUUAUACAAGACAGGUGUGAAAUCCCCGGGCUUAACCUGGGAAUGGCAU